AAUUAACGUUAUUUUAAUAUUGUGCAGUCUUCUAGUGACACGUACCUAUUUGUUUAUAAUUCAUACCUACGGCUGUUCCUCUCCCCCGUACAUAAGAAUGGAACCGAUAGUUAUCAACGCUCGUUUGAUGUUUUGGCUUAUUAUUUUAGAUUGUAUUUUAACCGCAAUUAUUUGUUAUCCCAUGCACGAUAUGGUAUACGAGAUAGUCAGAAACGUACGGAGAUUCAGGGAAGAACAGAGGAGGAUCAACAGGCACUAGGAUUUUAUAAUUAUUGAAAUCACUUCUUGAUGUCUAUCAAAAUGUUGAUCUUUCAAUAAAUUUUACAGCAAUGUAAAAGCACAACCCUAA